GGUUAAGCGACUAAGCGUACACGGUGGAUGCCCUGGCAGUCAGAGGCGAUGAAGGACGUGCUAAUCUGCGAAAAGCGCCGGCGAGGUGAUAUGAACCCUUGACCCGGCGAUGUCCGAAUGGGGAAACCCAGUGCAAUCCGUUGCACUAUCGUUAACUGAAUACAUAGGUUAACGAGGCGAACCGGGGGAACUGAAACAUCUAAGUACCCCGAGGAAAAGAAAUCAACCGAGAUUCCCCCAGUAGCGGCGAGCGAACGGGGAGCAGCCCGGAGUCUGAAUCAGUUUGUGUGUUAGUGGAACGGUCUGGAAAGUCCGACGGUACAGGGUGAUAGUCCCGUACACGAAAGCACACUUGCUGUGAACUCGAAGAGUAGGGCGGGACACGUGGUAUCCUGUCUGAAUAUGGGGGGACCAUCCUCCAAGGCUAAAUACUCCUGACUGACCGAUAGUGAACCAGUACCGUGAGGGAAAGGCGAAAAGAACCCCGGCGAGGGGAGUGAAAAAGAACCUGAAACCGUGUACGUACAAGCAGUGGGAGCCUCUUUAUGGGGUGACUGCGUACCUUUUGUAUAAUGGGUCAGCGACUUAUAUUCUGUAGCAAGGUUAACCGUAUAGGGGAGCCGAAGGGAAACCGAGUCUUAACUGGGCGUUAAGUUGCAGGGUAUAGACCCGAAACCCGGUGAUCUAGCCAUGGGCAGGUUGAAGGUUGGGUAACACUAACUGGAGGACCGAACCGACUAAUGUUGAAAAAUUAGCGGAUGACCUGUGGCUGGGGGUGAAAGGCCAAUCAAACCGGGAGAUAGCUGGUUCUCCCCGAAAGCUAUUUAGGUAGCGCCUCGUGAACUCAUCUUCGGGGGUAGAGCACUGUUUCGGCUAGGGGGCCAUCCCGGCUUACCAACCCGAUGCAAACUACGAAUACCGAAGAAUGUUAUCACGGGAGACACACGGCGGGUGCUAACGUCCGUCGUGAAGAGGGAAACAACCCAGACCGCCAGCUAAGGUCCCAAAGUCAUGGUUAAGUGGGAAACGAUGUGGGAAGGCACAGACAGCCAGGAUGUUGGCUUAGAAGCAGCCAUCAUUUAAAGAAAGCGUAAUAGCUCACUGGUCGAGUCGGCCUGCGCGGAAGAUGUAACGGGGCUAAACCAUGCACCGAAGCUGCGGCAGCGACACUAUGUGUUGUUGGGUAGGGGAGCGUUCUGUAAGCCGUUGAAGGUGUGCUGUGAGGCAUGCUGGAGGUAUCAGAAGUGCGAAUGCUGACAUAAGUAACGAUAAAGCGGGUGAAAAGCCCGCUCGCCGGAAGACCAAGGGUUCCUGUCCAACGUUAAUCGGGGCAGGGUGAGUCGACCCCUAAGGCGAGGCCGAAAGGCGUAGUCGAUGGGAAACAGGUUAAUAUUCCUGUACUUGGUGUUACUGCGAAGGGGGGACGGAGAAGGCUAUGUCAGCCGGGCGACGGUUGUCCCGGUUUAAGCAUGUAGGCGGAGGUUCCAGGUAAAUCCGGUACCUUAUUAACGCUGAGGUGUGAUGACGAGGCACUACGGUGCUGAAGUGAUAAAUGCCCUGCUUCCAGGAAAAGCCUCUAAGCAUCAGGUAACACGAAAUCGUACCCCAAACCGACACAGGUGGUCAGGUAGAGAAUACCAAGGCGCUUGAGAGAACUCGGGUGAAGGAACUAGGCAAAAUGGUGCCGUAACUUCGGGAGAAGGCACGCUGAUGUGUAGGUGAAGCCCCUGCGGGCGGAGCUGAAAUCAGUCGAAGAUACCAGCUGGCUGCAACUGUUUAUUAAAAACACAGCACUGUGCAAACACGAAAGUGGACGUAUACGGUGUGACGCCUGCCCGGUGCCGGAAGGUUAAUUGAUGGGGUUAGCUGUAAGGCGAAGCUCUUGAUCGAAGCCCCGGUAAACGGCGGCCGUAACUAUAACGGUCCUAAGGUAGCGAAAUUCCUUGUCGGGUAAGUUCCGACCUGCACGAAUGGCGUAAUGAUGGCCAGGCUGUCUCCACCCGAGACUCAGUGAAAUUGAACUCGCUGUGAAGAUGCAGUGUACCCGCGGCAAGACGGAAAGACCCCGUGAACCUUUACUAUAGCUUGACACUGAACACUGGUCCUUGAUGUGUAGGAUAGGUGGGAGGCUUUGAAGCGUGGACGCCAGUCUGCGUGGAGCCGCCCUUGAAAUACCACCCUUUAAUGGCUGGUGUUCUAACGUAGACCCGUAAUCCGGGUUGCGGACAGUGUCUGGUGGGUAGUUUGACUGGGGCGGUCUCCUCCCAAAGAGUAACGGAGGAGCACGAAGGUUGGCUAAUCCUGGUCGGACAUCAGGAGGUUAGUGCAAUGGCAUAAGCCAGCUUGACUGCGAGCGUGACGGCGCGAGCAGGUGCGAAAGCAGGUCAUAGUGAUCCGGUGGUUCUGAAUGGAAGGGCCAUCGCUCAACGGAUAAAAGGUACUCCGGGGAUAACAGGCUGAUACCGCCCAAGAGUUCAUAUCGACGGCGGUGUUUGGCACCUCGAUGUCGGCUCAUCACAUCCUGGGGCUGAAGUAGGUCCCAAGGGUAUGGCUGUUCGCCAUUUAAAGUGGUACGCGAGCUGGGUUUAGAACGUCGUGAGACAGUUCGGUCCCUAUCUGCCGUGGGCGCUGGAGAAUUGAGGGGGGCUGCUCCUAGUACGAGAGGACCGGAGUGGACGCAUCACUGGUGUUCGGGUUGUCAUGCCAAUGGCACUGCCCGGUAGCUAAAUGCGGAAGAGAUAAGUGCUGAAAGCAUCUAAGCACGAAACUUGCCCCGAGAUGAGUUCUCCCUGAGACUUUAAGUCUCCUGAAGGAACGUUGAAGACGACGACGUUGAUAGGUCGGGUGUGUAAGCGCAGCGAUGCGUUGAGCUAACCGAUACUAAUGAACCGUGAGGCUUAACCUU
rnacentral:rRNA from 2 species